CCGUCAUUAACCCUGUGAAAAGAGUUCUUUCCAGAUAAGCAGACACUUGGGGCUGUGGGGAGUGGAUACUGGUCCCAGUUUGCUACCAGCAAUCCCAACUCAAGACACAGGACACCAGCAUACUGCCCAGCUUCCAAAACACGUAUGAAUGUUGACAAAAUCAGCUGAAGUUUAAAUAAAGCUGUGUGGGAGAAAGGAGAGAGCAAAGACUCCCUCAACAGCAAGAAGAUUCGCUGGAGAACACAAGCCAGUGUAACUCCUGGCUGGGAGUUUGGCUUGAUAGAGAAAUGCCCACUAAGCAAAUUCAAGGCCUGGGGUCUAUAUCUGCACUACAAAAUAAAAUAAAAUAAAAUAAAAUAAAAUACAGAACA
rnacentral:lncRNA from 1 species